rnacentral:rRNA from 1 species
ACAGGGAUUGCUCUAGUAACGGCGAGUGAAGCAGCAAUAGCUCAAAUUUGAAAUCUGGCGUCUUCGACGUCCGAGUUGUAAUUUGUAGAGGAUGCUUCUGAGUAACCACCGACCUAAGUUCCUUGGAACAGGACGUCAUAGAGGGUGAGAAUCCCGUAUGCGGUCGGAAAGGUGCUCUAUACGUAGCUCCUUCGACGAGUCGAGUUGUUUGGGAAUGCAGCUCUAAAUGGGAGGUAAAUUUCUUCUAAAGCUAAAUAUUGGCCAGAGACCGAUAGCGCACAAGUAGAGUGAUCGAAAGAUGAAAAGCACUUUGGAAAGAGAGUUAAAAAGCACGUGAAAUUGUUAAAAGGGAAGGGAUUGCAACCAGACUUGCUCGCGGUGUUCCGCCGGUCUUCUGACCGGUCUACUCGCCGCGUUGCAGGCCAGCAUCGUCUGGUGCCGCUGGAUAAGACUUGAGGAAUGUAGCUCCCUCGGGAGUGUUAUAGCCUCUUGUGAUGCAGCGAGCCCGGGGCGAGAUCCGCGCUUCGGCUAGGAUGCUGGCGUAAUGGUCGUAAUCCGCCCGUCUUGAAACACGGACCAAGGAGUCUAACAUCUAUGCGAGUGUUCGGGUGUCAAACCCCUACGCGUAAUGAAAGUGAACGGAGGUGAGAACCGCAAGGUGCAUCAUCGACCGAUCCUGAUGUCUUCGGAUGGAUUUGAGUAAGAGCAUAGCUGUUGGGACCCGAAAGAUGGUGAACUAUGCCUGAAUAGGGUGAAGCCAGAGGAAACUCUGGUGGAGGCUCGCAGCGGUUCUGACGUGCAAAUCGAUCGUCAAAUUUGGGUAUAGGGGCGAAAGACUAAUCGAACCAUCUAGUACUGGU